CUAGACUUGACAUCUCCUGAAUUACCGGUAAUGCGGGAAGCCCUUCGGGGCAGGAAGACAGGUGGUGCAUGGUUGUCGUCAGCUCGUGUCGUGAGAUGUUGGGUUAAGUCCCGCAACGAGCGCAACCCUUGUCGUUAGUUGCUACCAUUAAGUUGAGCACUCUAGCGAGACUGCCGCGGUUAACGCGGAGGAAGGUGGGGAUGACGUCAAAUCAUCAUGCCCCUUAUGUCUAGGGCUACACACGUGCUACAAUGGUCGGUACAAUGAGACGCAAAACCGCGAGGUGGAGCAAAACUUAUAAAACCGAUCCCAGUUCGGAUUGCAGGCUGCAACUCGCCUGCAUGAAGCCGGAGUUGCUAGUAAUCGCGAAUCAGAAUGUCGCGGUGAAUACGUUCCC
rnacentral:rRNA from 1 species